rnacentral:rRNA from 1 species
AAACUGCCUGAUGGAGGGGGAUAACUACUGGAAACGGUAGCUAAUACCGCAUAANGUCGCAAGACCAAAGAGGGGGACCUUCGGGCCUCUUGCCAUCGGAUGUGCCCAGAUGGGAUUAGCUAGUAGGUGGGGUAACGGCUCACCUAGGCGACGAUCCCUAGCUGGUCUGAGAGGAUGACCAGCCACACUGGAACUGAGACACGGUCCAGACUCCUACGGGAGGCAGCAGUGGGGAAUAUUGCACAAUGGGCGCAAGCCUGAUGCAGCCAUGCCGCGUGUAUGAAGAAGGCCUUCGGGUUGUAAAGUACUUUCAGCGGGGAGGAAGGCGAUAAGGUUAAUAACCUUGUCGAUUGACGUUACCCGCAGAAGAAGCACCGGCUAACUCCGUGCCAGCAGCCGCGGUAAUACGGAGGGUGCAAGCGUUAAUCGGAAUUACUGGGCGUAAAGCGCACGCAGGCGGUCUGUCAAGUCNGAUGUGAAAUCCCCGGGCUCAACCUGGGAACUGCAUUCGAAACUG